CACAAGUAAAAAACCUUUGUAAUUUCAGGUAACUAUGGUGGAGGUGGAAACUAUAAUGAUUUUGGAAAUUACAGUGGACAACAGCAAUCAAAUUAUGGACCCAUGAAAGGGGGCAGUUUUGGUGGAAGAAGCUCGGGCAGCCCCUAUGGUGGUGGUUAUGGAUCUGGUGGUGGAAGUGGUGGAUAUGGUAGCAGAAGGUUCUAAAAACUCAGCAGAAAAGGGCUACAGUUCUUAGCAGGAGAGAGAGCGAGGAGUUGUCAGGAAAGCUGCAGGUUACUUUGAGACAGUCGUCCCAAAUGCAUUAGAGGAACUGUAAAAAUCUGCCACAGGAGGAACGAUGAUCCAUAGUCAGAAAAGUUACUGCAGCUUAAACAGGAAACCCUUCUUGUUCAGGACUGUCAUAGCCACAGUUUGCAAAAAGUGCAGCUAUUGAUUAAUGCAAUGUAGUGUCAAUUAGAUGUACAUUCCUGAGGUCUUUUAUCUGUUGUAGCUUUGUCUUUUUCUUUUUCUUUUCAUUACAUCAGGUAUAUUGCCCUGUAAAUUGUGGUAGUGGUACCAGGAAUAAAAAAAUUAAGGAAUUUUUAACUUUUCAAUAUUUGUGUAGUUCAGUUUUUCUACAUUUUAGUACAGAAACUUUAACAAAAUGCAGUUUUGAAGGUGUUUCCUUGUGAGUUAACAAGUAAAGAAGAUCAUUGUUAAUCACUAUUUUGUAUGAAUUUUGCUAAAGUUAACUGUAAAGAAACACCUACUGACUUGCAAUUUAAGGGGAAUCUAUUCUCCCCAUUUCCAAACCAUGAAAUGAAUGGGCUCUGACAUGUGGAGAGAAUAGAUAUUUGUAUGUUUGCAAUGUGUGUUUUAGAUAAAUAGAAUUGGGUAUUUAAAUUAGCAUAUUUGUGACUUUGAUGACAUUAAAAUUUACCUUCAAAUGAAAACUCAAAAUUCAAAAU